rnacentral:ncRNA from 2 species
GUGUAUUACAGAGGCCGCGAUUAGUCAAGAGUACUUAAGGGGAAAGGGACUGUCGCCGAAAUAUACUAAAUGUAUAUUGGGGCUAUGCUGAACAAGUAUGGCACUGUCCGAAACAGACCCACUGUCUAGGGAGUGCUGUGAUACAU